ensembl:lncRNA
CCUUCACCACAACCACGGCAACGGGAGAGGCUUAUCUCUCACCACGACAGACUUGAGGGGUUCUCUGCCAACUGAUCUCUCACCGCAACGUGUAGACGGAUCUCUACGUGGAGACUGAUCUCUCACCACGACACGAGCUUCCUGCCUUCCGAUCCUCCUCUACGGACCGUUUGCUGACGGACUUCCCUGGGCCUGCUACCUGAGACCUGCUGCUUCCUCCCUGACCUGCAUCCUCUCGCUGCCCCAGACCGGCCUUGCUGCUCCUGCCCUUCGGCCUCGGACCGUCGGAACAUCGUGCAACGGGACUGCUGCCGGAUCCUGGUGACUACGUGCUGUUGAUUAAAGCAGUAAACUGGGGAUGAAAGUGAAUCUGUAUGUCUGAAUUUUCUCACUCCAAAAAGGCUCUUAAAUGAAGCUUCAGAAAGAAGACACAGCUCUGCAAUUUCUCAAACUGCAGGAGUAGCCCCAGUCACAACCAACAGCCUGAGAGUGUCAGAGUCGCAUGAACUACAUGGAGCUCAGUCUGGGUGGUUGCAUAAGUCCCACCAAUUAUUGGAGGAGCAGAAGCACAAGGCAUGGCUUUUUGUCCUCAUUGCCAUGAAGACUAUUGUGGUUAUAGGUGGUUAGCUGACUCUGCAACUCUCAUCCAGCACACUCGUGAGACUGGUGGCUGAAUUGCCAGCACCUCCACAUGCACAGCACAUAUAGCAUACACGUGGCACGCACAGUCAUAAAGUGCUGAAGCCCGGAAACGCUCUCAAACACUCCAGGACUUCAUAAGCCUCUACUGCUGCCACCACCCACUGCUCUUACUGCUACUACUUCUACUGAAAUCCAGUAUUAGCUCUGUUUUCUACCCUGAAAAUUAGGGACAGAGAUGAAGAUUCAAAAGUUGCAAAGAAUCAAAAAGAAAUUGUAAAGAUAGCAAUAGCUUAGCCAUUAAAAUGUCCUGUAAAAUAAAUUUUCUACAUUUUACACAUUCCUCUAACAAUCUUUGCUUCUCUUUAAAUGAAUAGAGUUAAAUUAGUUUCCAUACACCCAGAAAUCCUCUCACAUUUCUCCAUAAGAUCAAGUCUUUACUCUUUUAUUGCUUUAAAUUCAUAUAAGCAUUCAAUAAUCUAUGUGUUCAUACCAAUAUAAAUUUUAAUGAAAAUAUAUUAGAUACAAUUGCACUGACAUAGGCUAGUAAGCCUCACUGUUUCCUUAACUUGCUCUCACACUGUUAGGAGUUUUGCUAGCUACAUUCAAGGCAAACUGAGAGGACUGUGUGAAGAAGGGAUUUCAGAAAGCAUCAAAUCCUCUGUUUCCCUAUGUCUCUCUUCUGUAGGAACUGCUUUUAAACUGAGGCCUUUUGAUAAAACAAGUUCUCAGGUAUAAUACAUCAUUUUUUCAAUAGUCACCAGCAUUAGAUAUGCAUUUUUGCCAGCAAUGACCAGGAGCCUGCAUGCUGCACUAAUACCUGCACCAACAGACCCACUGUUGCUGUCACCACUGCUGAAACACAUCAUCCACCACCUCACUGUGCUCACAAACUCUUUCUUCUCCAAAAACAAUCAGCUAAUAUUGAUGAAUGUCAUUGAGUGCAAUUUUUCCCUCAUCUAUUUCAUAAUCAGUUCUGUAUCAGAUGUCAUUUUGUCAGACUGCCCUUCUACCAUCGUCUGUAACAUGGCAACAAAAUGUAAUGGAAUAUUGGUGGACCAAUGUAAUAAAAUAGCAGGCAUUAUUUU